AUAUAUAUAUAUAUAUAUAUAUAUAUAUAUAUAUAUAUAUAUAUAUAUGAACAUGUAGUUUUUGAAGCAGAAAUCUCAACAGCGAUCUGUUAGGUCAUUACAUUGCUUCCCUUCAUUAACUAAGGUCAACCUGCACAAUCAUGCGUGUUGGUACAUUUACCAGUAAAAUAAGGAAACAAAACAAUAAAAUAAAAUAA